GAGGGUGUAGCUCAAGUGGUAGAGCCCAUGCCUAGCAAGCCUGAGGUCCUGGGUUCAAUCCCCAGUACCUCCA
rnacentral:tRNA from 1 species